GACGAACGCUGGCGGCGUGCUUAACACAUGCAAGUCGGACGGAAAGGCCCUGCUUUUGUGGGGUGCUCGAGUGGCGAACGGGUGAGUAACACGUGAGUAACCUGCCCUUGACUUUGGGAUAACUUCAGGAAACUGGGGCUAAUACCGGAUAGGAGCUCCUGCUGCAUGGUGGGGGUUGGAAAGUUUCGGCGGUUGGGGAUGGACUCGCGGCUUAUCAGCUUGUUGGUGGGGUAGUGGCUUACCAAGGCUUUGACGGGUAGCCGGCCUGAGAGGGUGACCGGCGACAUUGGGACUGAGAUACGGCCCAGACGCCUACGGGAGGCAGCAGUGGGGAAUAUUGCAAAAUGGGCGGAAGCCUGAUGAAGAAACGCCGCGUGCGGGAUGACGGCCUUCGGGUUGUAAACCGCUUUCGCCUGUGACGAAGCGUGAGUGACGGUAAUGGGUAAAGAAGCACCGGCUAACUACGUG
rnacentral:rRNA from 1 species